CCGUACCAAACUUGGCAUAUAAGACAAGAAAUCACUGCAAACGAGGUUAUAAAGUUCCAGACAGGAUGGUUUGUCACAGCAUAAGCUCCAGAGGCUUCGUUUGGCACUUUGCUGCGAGGGCUUGUCUUGGCCUGCUGUUGGACUUUUGGGAGGAUCAGUUUGGAUCUCUGUGCAGAAACAUGCCCCUCAGACGCACCAAGAUCCUGUCAUCAACAAGAAAUCACCUCAUUCUCUUCACCUGGUCCUCAUGCCCUUCCCACCUGCAGCCCAUUCCCUCAUUAGCCCCUCACUAUUUAGGUCCCCACACUUCCGCUUGUCCUCUGCCAGAUUGUCUUGUGGGUAUGCCAAGUUUUCCAGCGGUUUCCAAUUACCAAUAUCCUGACCUAGCCGGCCUGCUUUUGACUACGAACUCUUCGCCCGCCCCCUUUUUUGGAUUUGUCCAAAAAACCCUGCCUAUCCUCGUUUACGGAGCCCCUGCCUGCCCCUCUG
ensembl:lncRNA